rnacentral:lncRNA from 1 species
AGUGACACCUAGCAGUAUGUAGUGGCAACUUAGUAAAAUUGAAAUGAACCUCUAGAUGUAGUUAACAUGUGAUUCAGUUUCUCUAUCAUGAGUUCCGACUAGAUGGCAAGUCAUGGAUAAAUCGUCAAACCUCAACAUCGGUCAUAUGAUAGAUUUGAUUAGCUCAAAUCCAGUUAUGACUUCUAUGAAAAUUUCUUUUCAUCAAUUACACUACUAUAGUCAUAGAUUCUUGGACUUAGCCUUUCAAAUCUCGUAGGACUACUCCUUUC